UACAGAGGGGGCAAGCGUUAUUCGGAAUUAUUGUGCGUAAAGGGCGCGUAGGCGGCUUGAUAAGUCAAAGGUGAAAUCCCUCGGCUCAACCGAGGACCUGCCUUUGAUACUGUCUCGCUUGAGGCCGGGAGAGGGUAGCGGAAUUCCCAGUGUAGCGGUGAAAUGCGUAGAUAUUGGGAGGAACACCAGUGGCGAAGGCGGCUACGUGGACCGGUUCUGACGCUGAGGCGCGAAAGCGUGGGGAGCAAACAGG
rnacentral:rRNA from 1 species